GGAACUAUUUUAGAAACCGGGGGGAGGGAGGCUUAAUUUAGCCUGAGCAGUGGGGUAACUGUCUUAAAGAGGAGCAAGACAUACUGUUGGUGAGCGUGGCCAAAGAAUUGUUGUUUCAUCAGUCCACAACACUUUGUUCCAGCACUUUCUUUGUGUGUGUUGAGAUCGCUGGUUAAGUUUAUGUCGGAUGAUACUUCCAUGCGGAUUGUGCUGUGGACAGUUGAGUGUGCAUGCAUCAUUGUGAGCAGCAGCAAGACAACUCAUGGAUAAAAACAACAUGUUCCAGUGGUGCGGAUAACAAAAGGAGGUGUGGCUUUUCUACCAGGGACUGGCUGUUAGUGUCGUGAUCAGGCUGCACUGCUGACCCGUCUGCCCAGUGUUGAGUGGAAACACAAACAGGAUUAUAGCCUCGACCAUGGAAAGCAGGAUUCCCAAGAAUUGAGCCUAGCAGUGCCUUUUAUCUCACGGAAGUAUUAAACUCACUGGCAGUAAAAGACUGCAGUAACACAAGCAACAUAUCUGUUCUACCUUCUGCAGAAAUCACCCAUAUGAAGGCAUCUAUCUAUAACACAGCAUAUGUCCAUGUGAGCUCCAUGAGUGCCUAUGUGGGUUAUGGGGCCAAGAAGGGCUGAGUGGAGUCCAUGUGGGCAUUCAUCCUUAGGUAAAACAUGGGCCCUUUGUGUUCAUUUACAGUAAAGCUAAAG